AGCGAACGCUGGCGGCAGGCCUAAUACAUGCAAGUCGAACGGCUCUUCGGAGCAGUGGCGGACGGGUGAGUAACGCGUGGGAAUGUGCCCUUUGGUACGGAACAACACAGGGAAACUUGUGCUAAUACCGUAUGUGCCCUUCGGGGGAAAGAUUUAUCGCCAUCGGAGCAGCCCGCGUUGGAUUAGGUAGUUGGUGAGGUAAAGGCUCACCAAGCCUACGAUCCAUAGCUGGUCUGAGAGGAUGACCAGCCACACUGGGACUGAGACACGGCCCAGACUCCGACGGGAGGCAGCAUUAGGGAAUCUUGCGCAAUGGGCGAAAGCCUGACACAGCCAUGCCGCGUGUAUGAUGAAGGUCUUAGGAUUGUAAAAUACUUUCACCGGGGAAGAUAAUGACGGUACCCGGAGAAGAAGCCCCGGCUAACUUCGUGCCAGCAGCCGCCGUAAUAC
rnacentral:rRNA from 1 species